rnacentral:hammerhead_ribozyme from 1 species
AUCCAGCCGAGUCCCAAACAGGACGAAACGCGCGUCCUAGAU